rnacentral:rRNA from 1 species
CGGGGGCUGCAGUGGGGAAUAUUGCACAAUGGGGGAAACCCUGAUGCAGCGACGCCGCGUGAGUGAGGAAGUAUUUCGGUAUGUAAAGCUCUAUCAGCAGGGAAGAAAAUGACGGUACCUGACUAAGAAGCCCCGGCUAACUACGUGCCAGCAGCCGCGGUAAUACGUAGGGGGCAAGCGUUAUCCGGAUUUACUGGGUGUAAAGGGAGCGUAGACGGCUAAUCAAGUCAGAAGUGAAAACCCAGGGCUCAACUUUGGGACUGCUUUUGAAACUGAGUAGCUAGAGUGCAGGAGAGGUAAGCGGAAUUCCUAGUGUAGCGGUGAAAUGCGUAGAUAUUAGGAGGAACACCAGUGGCGAAGGCGGCUUACUGGACUGUAACUGACGUUGAGGCUCGAAAGCGUGGGGAGCAAACAGGAUUAGAUACCCUAGUAGUC